CUCCCUGCCUCUUCAUUUGUACGUAGUCUGUAUUUAGGUCAGAAUAGUGUUCACUGUGUGAACUAAACUGUGUUCUUGGUUAGAAAUAGCUGCACAAAAUAAGUAUUGUAUCUUAUUGAACCUGUGUUUUUUAGUUGUCCAUGACCAUGAAAUGCUCUUUUUGUACGUCGCUUUGGAUAAAAGCGUCUGCCAAAUAAAUGUAAUGUAAUGUAGUCUCCUGAAAUCCUCGGGAAGGGGGGGGGGGGUGGCCGUAAAAAUUGAUUUAUAACCUCCAGUUUGACGCCUUGGUCACCUUUAUUAUCCUUGUGAAUCCCAUAUGAUCGAGGGAUCCUGAGGGGUUUUCUUGUCAUCAUGUUUGCACAUGCAUUAAGAUUGCAACUGAACUGAAAACCCAUUCCCCCACUUAAAUGGUCCAGUUAGCUGGUAGUAUUUACUUUCUUCAGGCACACACGCAAGCUUCCUUCUAAGUGUAUCAUCUAUUCCAAAAACAAUACAUUUAUUAAACGACUAGGCUAAUUAGGAGAUGGAUAGAGAAUACACACGCACACACACGGCCACACCUGCCAUAUUAUUAAUUGAGACAUCCUUUUUGCUAAAUGUGUGAAGCAUUUACUUAGGUAGGUAUCUCCAAUGUCCAGUUGUAUUCAGUCACUUAGUUUUCCAUGACUACUCAAAAAACCCAGAGGACCACGACAUUGUAAAGUCCUUCCUGACUGCUCUUGGAAUUGUGUGACGGAGUUGCUUUGGACCCAUUGUCUCAGGAAGCGCCAAAUGUGACAUCAUCAGCGCGAGCCGGUCGUGCGUUCAGCCGCACUGAGCGAAGUUUUACCGCCACUGUCAGGAACGGAACAGCCAGUAAGAAAGGAGCCAGGUCGUUCAUCGCGACGAGUAACGAGCGGUGGCUAGAAGCCGGCGGUGGCUAGAAGCCGGCGGUGGCUGGAAGCCGGGGGUAGCUGGAAGCCGACGGUGACUCCCGACGUCGACUCUGACGAGGCUGAUUGGGGACGUUGAUGCGUGCGGUAAUUUUGAUUUAUUCAUUAAGAAGUGCGUUUAAGGAUCCCGGGUCUGUUAAUCAAUCAUUGCCUCCCCCGCCCCCCCACCCCGUUCCUCGACGGGGCUGUAAAUUUUACUCUGCUCCAUGUCUUUCAAGGCGCUGCACCCUCCGUGUUAAAAUGGAGGGGGGGCGACGGGGGACAGGGGGAGGGGGAGUCUGGCGGAAGGCCACGAGGCAGAUCUGUGUUUUUACGCCUCUGUGUUACUCUGAAAACGUGUGCGCCCCUGCGCCCCCUCUUAGGUCUGCCUCGUCCCAUGCUGGAGGCACGCUGGUUAGGGGCAGAAAUAUGUGACUGGGUGACAGACAAUGGGGGCGUAACGCUCUUUUGGUACAAUGCAUCCCAGCCCACCUUCAGCUUCCUACUGUUGUGAGGCGGGGUGCGAUGUGUGCAAGGCAAGGGCUAUCAUUAGAGCUUCGGCGCCGGGCAGCAGGAUGAAUCAGAUGACGAGGGCUGGACUUGUAAUUAGACAGCUUGUUGGAUUUGACCGUUUCUCAGUGCGGUUUUUAAAUGCAUUUAUUUAUUUAUUUUAUAGCUGAAACUUUGAGUUCCAGAGAACAGCUCUCAUGUGUAAAGAGGCGCAUCCCCUCCUUUCUGAAGAAGAGUGUGUGUUUGUGUGUGUGCAUGAGAUGGGUGCAUCAGUGAGAACAUUGCAUUGUGCAAGUGGUGUGUGUGUGCGUGUGUGUCUCUGUAUGUCUGUGUGUGUGUCUGCAUGUCUGUGUGUGUGCGUGCAUGCGUGUAUGUGUGUGCGUGUGUAUAUGUGCAUGCAUGUGUGUGUGCGUGUAUGCAUGCAUGCAUGUGUGUGUGCGUGUAUGCAUGCAUGCAUGUGUGUCAGGUCCUGAGGCUGCAGAUGGGUCUCGUAGCUGUGUAGAGCUCAGCAGCAGCCUGCGAGGCCCCAGACUCCCUGUCCCUGCUUUUUGAACACUGGAAGCUGUUCAUGGAAAGCUGUCUGUCCGGAGCAGAGAUGAUGUAUGAUGCCAGUCCCGCAUCAUACAUCAUCUUUACCAGCCCACGCAUCCAUCCACCGAGCCCCCAGGCGCCUAUCCCACACAUCACAGAGUACCACGGCAGUGUGUGCGCUCUGGGGUCAGUGCCCAGUACCCACCGAACCCUGUCAUAAGCCUACAGAGGAGGUGGGCCAAUAAACGGUGCUCUCUCUCUCUCACGCUCUCUCUCUCAUUCUAGCCUGUCUUCAGUCUUUCUUCCACUUUAUAUCCCUCUUUCUCCUUCAUUCAUUCUCAUCUUUCUGUUGUCCUUUUGCUAUGGGCUAAAUCUCUUAUCUGCAGUUCACCCAGAUGGAGAGAGAGCACAGGUCACUUCUAUUUAUUUACUUAAAAAAAGGAAAAAAAAGAAAGAAAGAAAAAAGCAAUCAAGGAUAUUUUGGAAGGAGAAUCUGGAUGUUUGCAAAACACAUCUGGACCACAAUCAGCCAGGGGGGGAAACGAGAAGCUGAAAACAGAUGUGGCGGUUUGGGGUGGUGGGGUGUGAUGGCCUGCAGGAACCUGAUACAGUACACCCACCCCCACCCCCCAACUGGGGAAUUCUCACAAAGAUAGCGGGAGGUUUUUUCUGGGGAGUGGCCACGGGGCGUGUGUUUUCGUCAGAGGGGUGUACAGUAGUUCACGCGCGCUCGCUGUACGGUAUGUGUGUCAGCGGAAGGGCGGGCCCCUUCGCCGGUGAGGACGGGAGAAAGCCGCUUCCGGGCCCCUGGUCGCGCGCGGGGACCGGUCCGGUAAGAACCGGGAAAUCGGGCCGUGACGCUUACGAGGAGGAGGAAAGCGCUCCGGCGUCCUGUGGAAUUCUCCCGGGAUGGAUACCGCCUCCGCCGCUCGUCUCGCGCGUUUGUGUACUUCGCUUGUUGUUGUUCGUUUCUGUUCUGCCGUCUGUUCACUUUUCUGACUAGAUUAGAGCGUGUUCCCUGGCAUCUUGGGACGUGUCGACCGCAUUCCAAAAUUAUUUACUUGAGACUGGCUAUACAUUUAAAGUUAAAUUGGUCUCUUAAUAUCCAUUUGAGUAUUCACGUCCAGACACCUGAAAAUUUUUAUUUAUAGCUUUUCCUUGUGAAGAGAUUUCACCUCCAUUUACUCGUCUCCAAGGAGCAAUGCUAUCAAUAUCCAUCAAUUGUCUCAUUUUAUUAUUGGGUUCUUCAAUGUUUCUUGAUGACAAAUAGAAUGAAGUUAAAUGCUGUCUUCAUCUAAGUACUGAUUCAGUUAAUCAACCAGUGAUCAAAGUUCCAUAAUUAUUUACUUGAGGCUGUUGUUUGUUGUUUAUUUGUUUUGUUCCCAUGCAUUGACUACAGUCUUUCUUUGAAAAUUCUGUUUGCAAUGAGCCCGAAGCUUGAUUGCAUGAGCAAAUAGAGCCAAACCUGGAACCUUCCAAGAUGUUUCGGAUAUGAAGAGCUGUUGCCCUCUGACCUCUAUCCCGGCUUAUUUCCAGCAGAGCAACUGCACAGUGGCUUCCCAGCACUCUCUCCCCCCCCCUCCCCCCACCCCCAUCCCCGACCCUCCCCCCAUCAACAGGAAUAGCGGGACUGUGAUGCUGGCCAGGACACUUGUUUGGUAAACAGACGCUACCCUGCACGACAUCAAAAUCACUUCCUGUUUUUCUCCAUUUCCUCCAAUUAAACGAGAGGUCUCUCACUUCCGUCUGCCUUGCUUUAAAGCUGCACGGGUCAUGACGGAGCUCAUCGGAAGCGCGUCCACCGAGCAGCUGUUGACCCUUGACCUUUCGGACCCUGGGGAAGCGAGACGCAGCAGGGCUUUUAUUUCGGGAGUUCCGGUCUCUCAGGGAGAAGCUGAAGUAUCCAUGUCUCGCCAUCUCACCGCAACGAACAGCGAAGGGCUUCUAUCGCAACCAACGCUAAGUAAUCGUUCGCAAAACGGUUUCAUCGCAGUGACGUAACCGUGUUACACUGCUGCUGCAUUGCAACAAUGUUGGGAGAACAUUGUUUUUUCUCUUGGUAUUCUGACCAUUUCCAGCACACAGCCAAUCACAAGACCUGAGGUUUUGCCCCCCCCAAAAAAAAGCACGAACGACCGUUUUGGUGAUAAACUGCUAAUAAUUCAACUGCUAAGAAUUAUUAUUUUUUGGCCGAACUGGAGUUGAAUUACCACAGUGCAAUUACUAAUGUGGAAUUAUAGAGCGUCGGCUUCUGGAAAAUGGGGUUCUGUAGCUUGUGGAGUUAGGCCGUGGAACAGAUUGGAUUCAGGGUUGAAGUUACGACCCCAAAAGUUAAUCUUCCCCCUUCCGAGACGUUUGUAUUGCAGGUUUGGCCGAGGAGCCGGCCCGCGUGAGGAAUGGCCCGAGACCGGCAAUGUGAUGUGGCUUUCCCCGGGGAGCGUUAGCCCACACCGGUCAACAAUAACCUUUAACUGUAAAGAGGUAACUGCUCGUCAGGAUCCUUUUUUACACUGAAGGCAAUACAUUUAUUUAUGAGCGUCUAUGAACAUGUCCAUUUCUGAAGGAGGAGUGUGCUGGCAGUGUGUGUGGUCAGAGGAAGGCUGGAUGCAAAGUAAUACGAGAUAUUUGAUGAGGAGCAGAGUUAAAAGGUUGAGUGAACUGUUAAGGAUGGUAAAAGGCCUCAGAAAGCCAUCAAUGUGGAAAAAGCUUAAAAUAAAUAAGAAUGAUUGCAUACAGGUAUAAAAGCAUACAUGUGGAAAGAGAGACCAGGGGAAAAUACUUGCAUGCACACACAAAAAGAUAUUUAAUCCACUGUGUAAUGUGGUAUCAAGGGAUCUAUGGGAGGUUGCAGGUUUGAUUCCCCUGUUGUAACUGUGUUGUUUACCUGAAUAACUCUGGGCACAGCAGCACAAUGACAAGCCUUUCUGGGGAAGAGAGAGAGGGGAAGACGAUAGCUGAGAUGUCCUGUGCAGCUCCACAUUAUCGAGUCCUAAAAGUAGUCAAAUCCAUCCAUCCGUUUUCUUAAUCCGCUUGUUCCUGUUCAGGGUCAUCGGGUGGGGGAAUGUGGGAUUGGAGCCUAUCACAGCAUGCAGUGGGAAAGAGCUUGGAAUACACCCUGGACAGGUGGCCCAUCCAUUGCAGGGCCCACACAGCCUUCACUCACACAUUCAUAACUAUAGGCAAUUUAGAGUAACCAGUUAGCCUACUGUGGACUGUGGGAGGAACCUGGGGUACCCGGCAGAAACCCACAUGGACAUGGGGAGAACUUACAAGUUCCCCACAGAAAGGGAUUCGAACUUCAGUAACUUCAGUACGACAGUGACAUUCACUGCACCACCGUGCUGACCUCAGUCUAAAAUAUAUUGGGCAAAAGGGGAAUGCAGUGGUUGGGAGCCCCUAAAUCUGACAUUGACAAAUGGCCUGUUGGCUGACUAAGACUUCAUAGCCACAGAACGACCCUUCGAGAUAACUUUAUUUGGUGGGCCUGAGCCGUCGAUAAAUAUGAACCAGAGUGAUGGGGGGGGGGGGGUCAAAUCCAUACAAACCAACGACCUGUUCUCAGCUGAAAUCCUUUGGUUUUCUUUUUCCCCUCCUCUUUCCUCAGUGCAGCUGGGAUGAAAGUAAAACAGUGCGGUUUCGCUCCUGCAUAAUGCCGUGUUUGCUCACGGUGGUGCCGAGGCGGAGACGGCACAAAAGGCCGUGUGUUGGAGACGGCGGGGUUCACGCCGCGCGCCAGCGGAGCCGCCGGACGGGCGGCCGGACGGGCAGCCAGACGACCAGCCUGCGCUGACGGGAGGGAGGGAGGGAGGGAUUGAUACUGUCACACUCAGACCCGUGCGACCCUAUCUGUUUCAAGGAGUCUCGAGCGCACGCGCCAAUGUAAACAUGAUUUUGGAAUGGAGGGGGUUGGUUGGGGUGUUAGGUAGGGGGGGCGCGGGGUGGGGUGGGUGGGGGUGGGGGGUGCCGGGUGGGGGGAGGUCUCAUACUUCAUUUCAGAAUUUAGAGGAAAUGUGAAGCGUGCGGAUGACAAGAUGCCAGUUUCCCCGGAAAGGAAACAAAACUCCCUCGACCCUCCUCUCGACCUUCCUGGGAAGAGCUCCUAAGAGUUGGUUUCCUGUUUCAGGACUAAUACCGCCGUGUGGCAUAUCUUGAACAGGUCUCUGUCACCUCAGAGGUGUUUCUCUCUCUCUCUCCUUCUUUUCUCUCUGUAUCUUUCCCUCUCUGUCUCUAUGCCUCUCUCUCUCUCUCUCACUCUCUCUCUCUCUCUGCAUCCCUCCCUCCCUCCCUCCUAUCCUACCCCUCAUCCCCCAAAAAACACCUUGGCUUCCUGCCAAGGCAAACACACGGCCGAGGGGGCGGCAGGGCUCCCGUUCCCAUGGCGACGGCGGCGCGGGGGCGCGGCGCUGGCCCUGGCGAUUCGGAUCGGCGGGCCGAACAAAGAGCCCGAUUCAGGGGCAGGAGAGCCGCGGUCCUUUUCAGGGCCUGAACGCCGUGUCCAGGCGCGCGGUCGGAGAACCCAGAAAACCGCAAGGACUUAUCGCGGCCAAUCAAUUCGUCCCUCGCUUGCUUGCUCGCUGACACACAGGACCACUGUGCUACAGGCUGAUUCAGUGACGUGUCUCCACUUCUCCUCAUCCUCAUACAGUUGCCUGAACCGUAACACGGCGUUGCUGGACUUUUCUGCAACGCACUGGCUUCAUGCCUCGCACCAGGAUCACUUUCAGUGGGUGGGGAAAAGAUUGACCACCUAAACCAAUUAUUUUUAAUUUAGUUUGUUGUUUUAUUUAUUUUAUUGAACACCCUGAAUUCAAUUUUAUUAUAUAUGACUCUCUAUAUAUGACUAUAUGACUGUGAGAUCUAUUUUUCAGGUUUGAUGGAAAACAUGAUUUUUCACAAUAAAUGACUCAAAACACCUUGGAUUAAUUUUA